UACGUAGGGGCUAGGCGUUGUCCGGAAUCAUUGGGCGUAAAGCGCGAGCGUAGGCGGCCAGAUAAGUCCGGUGUGAAAGUCAAAGGCUCAACCUUUGAAUGCCGCUGGAAACUGUCUGGCUUGAGUCCGGAAGGGGCGAGUGGAAUUCCUGGUGUAGCGGUGAAAUGCGCAGAUAUCAGGAGGAACACCAAUGGCGAAGGCAGCUCCGCU
rnacentral:rRNA from 1 species